rnacentral:rRNA from 1 species
UACGUAGGGGGCCAGCGUUGUUCGGAUUUACUGGGCGUAAAGGGCGCGUCGGCGGCGUGGUAAGUCACUUGUGAAAUCUCUGAGCUUAACUCAGAACGGCCAAGUGAUACUGCUGUGCUAGAGUGCAGAAGGGGCAAUCGGAAUUCUUGGUGUAGCGGUGAAAUGCGCAGAUAUGCGGAGGAACACCGAUGGCGAAGGCAAUCCCCUGGACCUGUACUGACGCUCAUGCACGAAAGCGUGGGGAGCAAACAGG